UUUAAAUUUAUAAUUAAAUUUGCACACUGUGACUAAUUUCAGUCAAAACAUGACUCAUGAAUUAUUUAAGUGAAUCAUUUUCUGCUAACCUAGUGUUUGGACAUUUACUUUGAGCAUCCUCCAAAAAUAUCUCUAUUUACAGGCAAUCAUCGCAGGAAAAGUGUCAUCCACCUGGGCUUCAUCAAAGGGCAGGGUGGACAUUUUCUUUGAGGAGGAUGAGCAGCUGGACAGAGUGAUGGGCUUCUUGACAAGCCUGGUUGAAGCACAGACAACCAGAUGUCACAAUCAAGUGGCAUUCAUGAUGGAUGUGCUUCUGCCAGAGGCAACCAUCCAUGCGCUUUCAGCUGUCCAUGAAUGUUGACGGACAAAGCCACAGAAAUGUACGGCAGUGGGCUGCAGUAUGACUGGAGUGAGAGGCAGCUGAUGUCCUAUGCCAUGGAACUGCUCAUAAACACGGAGAAACUCAGAAAAGCUCUGGACUCAUCUGAAUUUUUGAAGAGGCUGUAGUAUUGUGUUGACAUCUUUUUUGGAAGGUUUUUGUAAGGCCAAUAAACGUUGUUGCUGGUUGUUUCAUUUGUCUGAACUUUUUUCUAAAGCAAAACUUUUCUGCUUUUGUGUUUACAGCAUAUUUUUUAAAGAUUAGUGAAUGGUCAAUAUCAGUUUACUAGUCUUGUGAAUUGUAUACUUAAUUCAAAAUAUUUUAGUAAUUUCUAAAUCAAUACAUUUUGUGUCAAAGGGCCAGCAAUUAUUCCUGUUAACAGAAUAUAUGAAAUACAUAAAUACACAUGUAAAUAUGCCUAAAAAUCACACAUCAGCAGCUUUUCACUGUAAAGAAGCAAUAAAAAAUCAUAAAUAUUAACAUAAAUAUUAACUACUCACUCGUAUUGACUUAGACCCACUGUUAGUGCCUGUAAUAACAAAUGGUUGAAAGUUAAAUGUUGCUGUAGGAGGCGUGCUCCCAAAAAUGGAGGCUAGUGGGCUUAAGGGGUUAAUUAAAACG